UACGAAGGGGGCUAGCGUUGUUCGGAAUUACUGGGCGUAAAGCGCGCGCAGGCGGCUAUCCAAGUCAGUGGUGAAAGCCCGGAGCUCAACUCCGGAACUGCCUUUAAGACUGCAUCGCUUGAAUCCAGGAGAGGUGAGUGGAAUUCCGAGUGUAGAGGUGAAAUUCGUAGAUAUUCGGAAGAACACCAGUGGCGAAGGCGGCUCACUGGACUGGUAUUGACGCUGAGGUGCGAAAGCUAGGGGAGCAAACGGG
rnacentral:rRNA from 1 species